AAGAAAAUCAGGCUGAUGAAUGAGGAAUGAACAUGGCCUUCUUGUGCACAAACAGAAAAGACAGAGAGCUGAAAAGUUGCACAUUUCCAUUGCUCCUAGAAUGAGCAAAUCAGCUGUGCAUCAUCUCUGGGAUUUGGGAAGGAAAUGACUGAAUAUGAAAGAUGAAGCCAGUUGAUGAAGAUAUAAAUUCAAUGGCCACCAAGUGCCGCACUGCUGCCUGAACCCAUCAGUUAUCUGCUGUGAAGACUGCAUUCGCAAACAGCUCUACUGCGACAGCUCAGAUGUUAUGGCCAUAAAAGUAAACUUCACAACUGAAGUU